rnacentral:piRNA from 2 species
UGCCCAGUGUUGAAAACUCACAGCCUUUGAGC